rnacentral:rRNA from 1 species
UGGCUCAGAACGAACGCUGGCGGCAGGCUUAACACAUGCAAGUCGAGCGCCCCGCAAGGGGAGCGGCAGACGGGUGAGUAACGCGUGGGAAUCUACCCAUCUCUACGGAAUAACGCAUGGAAACGUGUGCUAAUACCGUAUACGUCCUUUUGGAGAAAGAUUUAUCGGAGAUGGAUGAGCCCGCGUUGGAUUAGCUAGUUGGUGGGGUAAAGGCCUACCAAGGCGACGAUCCAUAGCUGGUCUGAGAGGAUGAUCAGCCACACUGGGACUGAGACACGGCCCAGACUCCUACGGGAGGCAGCAGUGGGGAAUAUUGGACAAUGGGCGCAAGCCUGAUCCAGCCAUGCCGCGUGAGUGAUGAAGGCCCUAGGGUUGUAAAGCUCUUUCACCGGUGAAGAUAAUGACGGUAACCGGAGAAGAAGCCCCGGCUAACUUCGUGCCA